UAGAGUUUGAUCCUGGCUCAGGACGAACGCUGGCGGCGUGCUUAACACAUGCAAGUCGAACGGUGAAGCCCAGCUUGCUGGGUGGAUCAGUGGCGAACGGGUGAGUAACACGUGAGUAACCUGCCCCUGACUCUGGGAUAAGCCUUGGAAACGAGGUCUAAUACCGGAUAUGUGACGUUCAGGCAUCUGAUGCGUCUGGAAAGAUUUAUCGGUCAGGGAUGGACUCGCGGCCUAUCAGCUUGUUGGUGGGGUAACGGCCUACCAAGGCGACGACGGGUAGCCGGCCUGAGAGGGCGACCGGCCACACUGGGANUGAGACACGGCCCAGACUCCUACGGGAGGCAGCAGUGGGGAAUAUUGCACAAUGGGCGCAAGCCUGAUGCAGCGACGCCGCGUGAGGGAUGAAGGCCUUCGGGUUGUAAACCUCUUUCAGCAGGGAAGAAGCGCAAGUGACGGUACCUGCAGAAGAAGCGCCGGCUA
rnacentral:rRNA from 1 species